rnacentral:rRNA from 1 species
UACGUAGGGUGCAAGCGUUUAAUCGGAAUUACUGGGCGUAAAGUGUGCGUAGGCGGUCGGACAAGUGGAAGGUGAAAUCCCCCGGGCUCAACCUGGGGAAUUGCGAUGGGAGACUGCAAGGCUUGAAUCUGGCAGAGGGGGGGUAGAAUUCCACGUGUAGCAGUGAAAUGCGUAGAGAUGUGGAGGAACACCGAUGGCGAAGGCAGCCCCCCUGGGUCAAGAUUGACGCUCAUGCACGAAAGCGUGGGGAGCAAACAGG